rnacentral:rRNA from 1 species
CAUGCAGGCGGUUAGACAAGUCAGAUGUGAAAUCCCCGAGCUUAACUUGGGAAUUGCAUUCGAUACUGGGAAGCUAGAGUAUGGGAGAGGAUGGUAGAAUUCCAGGUGUAGCGGUGAAAUGCGUAGAGAUCUGGAGGAAUACCGAUGGCGAAGGCAGCCAUCUGGCCUAAUACUGACGCUGAGGUACGAAAGCAUGGGGAGCAAACAGGAUUAGAUACCCCCGUA